UGCAGACAGGCACCAUAUAUCACAGAUAAACACUGGGGUGAACGCAUGUCAGAGUGAACAGUGUCUGUUGAAAUAUCUUAACAAUUUAACAAGGCAUAUAACAGAUAUUUAAAGCUAUCUUAAAGUAAGAGUUACAAGUGUCUGUUGAAACAUCUUUGAAUUUAACAAGACAUGUACCAGGUAACAGAUUAUUAAAGCUAUCUUCUGUAAGAGUGAAAAUGUCUAGUGAAUCAUCUUUGAAUUUAACAAGACAUAUAAGAGAUAUUGAAAGCUAUCUUCAGUAAGAGUGACAAGUGUCUGUUGAAUCAUCUUUGAAUUUAACAAGGCAUAUAAGAGAUAUUGAAAGCUAUCUUCAGUAAGAGUGACAUGUGUCUGUUGAAUCAUCUUUGAAUUUAACAAGACAUGUACCAGGUAACAGAUUAUUAAAGCUAUCUUCUGUAAGAGUGAAAAUUGUCUGUUGAAUCAUCUUUGAAUUUAACAAGGCAUAUAAGAGACAUUUAAAGCUAUCUUCAGGUGGCUUGACAAGAAUUCAAAACCUAACAAUCUUAAAUUUAAAGCAUUUUCUAAAAUCCUUGACCACUACUUUCUUUACCAUAGUUUUGAUGAAUAUGCAUCAAAAUUACUGAAACAAUGCUUCUUAAAAAGGAAUGUUUACACAUUGAAGAAAAUGCUGAGAAAAUAGAGUAAAGUAAUAUCUACGAAUACUGCAAUAUUUCUGGAAAAAAACAACAGUAAAAAUAUAUCUGGGAAGGUAAUAAUACUCAAGGCAACUUGGACGGAAGUACAA